rnacentral:rRNA from 1 species
GGUUACUGCUAUCGGUGUUCGUCUAAGCCAUGCGAGUCAUAUGUAGCAAUACAUGGCGUACUGCUCAGUAACACGUGGAUAACCUGCCCUUGGGUCCGGCAUAACCCCGGGAAACUGGGGAUAAUUCCGGAUAACGCAUAUAUGCUGGAAUGCUUUCUGCGUAAAAUGGAUUCGUCUGCCCAAGGAUGGGUCUGCGGCCUAUCAGGUAGUAGUGGGUGUAAUGUACCUACUAGCCUACGACGGGUACGGGUUGUGAGAGCAAGAGCCCGGAGAUGGAUUCUGAGACAUGAAUCCAGGCCCUACGGGGCGCAGCAGGCGCGAAAACUUUACAAUGCGGGAAACCGUGAUAAGGGGACACCGAGUGCCAGCAUCCUAUGCUGGCUGUCCGGGUGUGUAAAAUACACCUGUUAGCAAGGGCCGGGCAAGACCGGUGCCAGCCGCCGCGGUAACACCGGCGGCCCGAGUGGUGAUCGUGAUUAUUGGGUCUAAAGGGUCCGUAGCCGGUUUGGUCAGUCCUCCGGGAAAUCUGACAGCUUAACUGUUAGGCUUUCGGAGGAUACUGCCAGACUUGGAACCGGGAGAGGUAAGAGGUACUACAGGGGUAGGAGUGAAAUCUUGUAAUCCCUGUGGGACCACCCGUGGCGAAGGCGUCUUACCAGAACGGGUUCGACGGUGAGGGACGAAAGCUGGGGGCACGAACCGGAUUAGAUACCCGGGUAGUCCCAGCCGUAAACGAUGCUCGCUAGGCGUCAGGCAUGGCGCGACCGUGUCUGGUGCCGCAGGGAAGCCGUGAAGCGAGCCACCUGGGAAGUACGGCCGCAAGGCUGAAACUUAA